AUGGACAUGAUCGACAGCAUCGAGUGCGUGUCGUCGUCGGACGGCAUGGAGGACGACGACGCCAUGUCCUCCAACCUGCCCCGCCCCUUCCUCAAGGCCUCGGCGGCGGCCAUCGCGGCGGCCAGCAUCGGGGUGGUCCCCGGCGGCGUCGGUGGCGCGUCCGGCGCCGGUGCGGCCGGGGGGAUCGCCGGACCGCUGAUCCCGCCGGCCACGAGCGUCCACGAGCUCCUCGAGUGCCCCGUCUGCACCAACUCCAUGUACCCCCCGAUCCACCAGUGCCAAAAUGGGCAUACCCUUUGUUCUACCUGCAAAGCUCGGGUGCACAACCGCUGCCCUACCUGUCGACAAGAGCUGGGCGACAUCAGGUGUUUGGCAUUGGAAAAGGUGGCUGAAUCACUUGAGCUACCGUGCAAAUACUACUCACUAGGUUGUCCAGAGAUCUUCCCAUACUAUAGCAAGCUCAAGCAUGAGUCGCAGUGCAAUUUUAGGCCAUACAGCUGCCCUUAUGCGGGAUCUGAAUGCUCCGUUGUCGGGGACAUUCCUUUCCUUGUUUCACAUCUGAGAGAUGACCAUAAGGUUGACAUGCAUUCUGGGUGCACAUUCAACCAUCGUUAUGUCAAGUCAAACCCCAGAGAAGUUGAAAAUGCAACUUGGAUGCUAACUGUUUUCCAUUGUUUCGGGCAGUAUUUCUGCUUGCAUUUUGAGGCCUUCCAGCUCGGAAUGGCGCCAGUCUACAUGGCAUUCCUCCGCUUCAUGGGCGACGAGAAUGACGCAAGGAACUACAGCUAUAGCCUUGAGGUGGGUGCCAAUGGCAGGAAGAUGAUAUGGGAGGGCACACCCCGGAGCAUCCGGGACAGUCACCGCAAAGUGCGUGACAGCCAUGAUGGCCUCAUAAUCCAGCGGAACAUGGCACUCUUCUUCUCCGGCGGGGAGAGGAAAGAGCUGAAACUGCGGGUGACUGGCCGCAUCUGGAAGGAGCAGCAGAACCCCGACUCGGGAGCCUGCAUCCCUAAUCUCUUCAGCUGA
rnacentral:rRNA from 1 species